CAACCUGCACUCCCACGCCACCUCUCACUACAGCCCUUACACCCAGGUGUUAGUUUUCAAGAGGGGCUCGAGGGCGAAGGAGGGUUGAGGUUUACUAAUGUAGAAAAACAACAGACAGAUUGGACGCAACCUUGAGCAGCGGGGUUUGGAAAGAGCUCUAAAGAGACUCCAAGGUCAGUGGAUGUGGGAACUGCUGCUGUCUCCUGGGUCUGACGGAAAUAGUGACCAAAUCAAAGACGGCUCAUGAGUGAUACGUUCACUGAGGUCACAUCUAUUUAUUACUGCAGGGGGAGAGUAUCACAUAUACAGCAGGUCUAUAAUGGAAGGGACAGUAAUGAUGCCUGAUGUAUGUCAUCAGCAGGUGUGAAUGACUUGUCAUCGUGGAAGUUAUUAUCCAAGUGACUACAGCUUAUACAACCCUGCAUUUACCUUUCACUGUACACGAGUCAGAACAUGAUCCAAGCAGAGAGACUACAGGGUCAUGUUGUCACAGCAACACAACGUUGGUUGUACAGGGUACUCUGAAGCGUCGCCCUGAGUGGAGCAACGCAGGCUCAGUGUACGAGGUGGCGUUUAGUGCUUUCCUAUAUGUACUGAAACUGAACUGUAUGAAGCUAAUUGUUUCCUUUCUCAUCAAAUACAUUUAAAAAAGAAAAUUUGCUUCCAUUUGUAAUAUCAGUUGUUCUGGCAGGAAGUGAAGUAUUUCAAUAAAAAAUGGGAAAAUCUGGAGCCCUAAAUUGCAAAUGAUGAGGUUAAUUGAAUUAAUGAGCAUUUUAUACCGAUUAAAAUCUGCAGCUACUGGAAACUGAUAACCAAUCUCAUCCAAGAAAACCGCAUCAGCAGUAGUGCCAGUGGAGUCUUUUACCACUGACUUUGUGUUAUAAAUACUUUAUUCCACAAGUGAAGGAAACAUUAUUAGCUCGAUUGGAACAUGAAAGAAACAAUAAAAAACAAAUGAGAAGCUGAUAGGGAUCUGUGGUAAACUUGGCAGACAAUUUCCUCUCCUCACCUCUCCCAUGAGUAGCAGCACCCACCAGAGCUAGAGGCGUCCCACUGGGAGAGCCUCUCUGUGGUUAUCAUACCCCAUCUAGUGGCUGCACUGGGUUAAAGGAGCGAAGAGGAGGAGGAGGAGGACAGUGUCAGCAGCAUUUUUUAGACCUCGACUGCAGCUGCUCUCUGCACUUAUGUUUAUUCAGUUAAAUAAUACAGAUCGAUAGAUAGAUAGAUAGAUAGAUAGAUAGAUAGAUAGAUAGAUAGAUAGAUAGAUAGAUAGAUAGAUAGAUAGAUAGAUAGAUAGAUAGAUAGAUAGAUAGAUAGAUAGAUAGAAAGAAAGAAAGAUAGAAAGAAAUCAAAAACGUCUUGCUUUGGUUGAAACAUAAUAGCGACUUUGGAUGCAAAUGACUGUAAAAUUAAAAGAAAACAGAGACAUAAUUUAUUUUAAUUUGAUUAUAUGUUUAAAUGUCUCAUUAAGGAGAGCUUCAAUAUGGUCUGACAAUAUAGUAGUGCAAGACACAACAGUCCUGUAGGUGCAAAUUGAAUUUGAUUUAGGGGGAAAGAAAAAAAAAAGGCUUAUGGAGGUGUUGAGACUGAAGCGGUACGCGGUUCAUGUUACAGAGAUAUGAAGCCAUAAGAAUGUGUGAAAGCAAUGCCCUCUAGAUCCCCUCUUUUCACAACCCUAUUAUCCAAUUGAAAACUGAUCUUCAGCGAACUCCCAUUGUGUGCCUCGCUCAGAGAAUAAAUGCACCAAAAUUGAUCUCAGGUCUCUGAAGUGGGCCCGCAGAGCUGGAGUUUACACAUGGGACCAUUUUAUUCACUUCUGGUGGCAAUUUACAAACAUGCAAAACUGCGAGCUCACCACCGCAACCUGUGAGCCAAAUGCAGGAGUUCCACCUGUCUCAUAACCUUGUUGGAGCACAAUUUUCCUGCCUGCAGAGAAAGAGGAGGAGGGGGAAAGAAAUGUUGCUGUGACAAUGUCAAACAAUGUGUGUUAACAAUUCAACUCAGUACAGUGGGAAUGUCAUGCAGAAAGAGCAGCCAGUUGGAAGAUCUGCUAAUGUAUUGUGACUCCUGCUGUCAGCAGUUCAACUCUACACUCUCUUCCUGUAAUUUUCAGCCAUCUCCACUGCACUGAUACCGUUUCAAAAGCCUGCUCUCUAUCACUCAUACUGAAGCUGUGGGGGCUAUUAACUGUUUGCUCCGGGUUUGAUGUUUUACAUUGUAUCAGAGCAAAGAAAGAUGCUUUCAAAACACGCCCGUGCGGCCCAGCUGAAUUAAAGAUGCUCCUGUUGAAAGGAUGAUCAGUCUGUUUUGUGCCACAUUUAAGGUCUCCUUGUGAGUUCCAGCUUGUAGUCACAUUUUUUUGAAGAUACAACCUGGCAUUACUUACAAAUGGACUCUGUAACAAAGCAUACUUCUGGCGACUGUUGGUUUUAUUUUAGAAAUCAAGCAUCAUCUAACUGUUUUAUGCCAUAGCAACAAAUUAAACAUGUAAUUACUUGUAACUUAUGUCGGAUUUCUUGUCUGUAUUUUAUGUUUGUCCAGCGAGUAAAGAUGCAAGUCUCUAAGCAAUGUAAAAAGCCCAGUUCACAACAUAACCACCACUAUAAUGUAAGCAGAUAUAUUUACAUUUUAAGUGUUUAUUAAUGCAUUUGUCAACAACUAUAACUCCUUCUAUGAACCAUAACUGGUGUUACAUUAAACCAACAUAUAAUAUGACACGGUUGUAAUCAAACUGUGUCUCCAUAUUUAUUGGAUUUUAUUAACAAUAAAUAUUUAUAUAUUGAAUGUACAUUUUUAGUAAUCAUGAUAUUUUGCUAGCCACAUUAAGACAGUGGGGUUUCCAUGGUAAUACAGUAUACCACAGCAGUUAACUAGCUUUAUGGGCAAUGUGUGUAAUGGCAAAACCAGUUCAAAUAAAAUGUGGUGUACCACAAGGUUCUAUUUUAGGACCCUUAUUAUAUCUU
ensembl:lncRNA